rnacentral:rRNA from 1 species
AUUGAACGCUGGCGGCAUGCUUUACACAUGCAAGUCGAACGGUAACAGGCCGCAAGGUGCUGACGAGUGGCGAACGGGGGAGUAAUGCAUCGGAACGUGCCCAGGCGUGGGGGAUAACGCAGCGAAAGCUGCGCUAAUACCGCAUACGAUCUAUGGAGGAAAGCGGGGGACCGUAAGGCGUCGCGCGCUUGGAGCGGCCGAUGUCAGAUUAGGUAGUGGGGGGGGUAAAGGCUCACCAAGCCGACGAUCUGUAGCUGGUCUGAGAGGACGACCAGCCACACUGGGACUGAGACACGGCCCAGACUCCUACGGGAGGCAGCAGUGGGGAAUUUUGGACAAUGGGCGCAAGCCUGAUCCAGCAAUGCCGCGUGCAGGAAGAAGGCCUUCGGGUUGUAAACUGCUUUUGUACGGAACGAAACGGCUCUGGUUAAUACCUGGGGCUAAUGACGGUACCGUAAGAAUAAGCACCGGCUAACUACGUGCCAGCAGCCGCGGUAAAAC